CAGCGUCCGUCCGCGUUCGGCGGGCUGCGUGGCCCAUGUGUCAACGCACGCGUCAUACGUCGACCGCACGUGCAGCCAGGGCUUCCUAGCCUGCUUCGCCCAUACGUGGACCCCACGUGCAGCCAGGUCUUCGUAGCCUGCUUUGCCCACAUGUCACGCGUCUUUUCCUCUUCCUUUGGCGUUCCAGACGGCGGAGACGGCGGAGACGGCGGAUGGGCCAGAUCUACAGCGCAGCGCUCGGUCGCCCUCUGUAGACGCGGCCGGCUCCGUCCCUCUCCGUUCAUUGACGCCGCCAUCGCCUUGCGUUGCCUCGUGCGUCGUCGUCGUCGCUUCGGGGGCCAUGUGGUGCUGACUCAGUGGUCCCUGCCUCCAAGCGGGUCCACGCGCAGCUGCUACACGGAGAGGCGCGGGACUACGCGAUGCUGCGGAGCCAUCGUCGAGUCGCCGGCGGUCUCCGUUGCGACUGUGCUGCAGCAGUGACAGGCAUGGCCGACAUAGUGCCGUCCUCUGGGUGUGUACUUUCUUCCCCUUAAAUAUUUCCUUCCCCUCUCCUUGGAGCCCGCUCGCAUUAUUUAGUCCUUAUAUAUAUACUGAUUCUCGAAUCUGUCGUCCUCAUUGUUUCGCUCUUUUGUUUUGCAAACCUUCGUCCUCAUGGGAGCGUUUGGUGUGUUCCUGCUGCCUGCCGUGCCCUAGCCAUUGUCGCCGCCUCCGUAGGCCUAGUGAUCUGGGUGCCUGUUGCCUGGGUGACUUUUACCGCUGCUUGGAGGACUCGCCGCUUCGGAUUUCCGGUCGUCGUGAUCUGGGUGCUUACUGCUUGGGGGCAUCUUCGAGGAGACCACUCGCCAUUUCGCGUUUUCGAUCGUCGCUUGUAGAUGGGAGACGUGUUGAUCCCGGAGCUCCAACGUGGGAACACUUCUGUGACCAUAUGCGCUCGCGUUUCUCGUUUAUGGGACUUCUGUGAUCCUCAGGAUGAAGCAAAGUUGCUCCAUUGUGAUAUGGUGCUGCUUGACGAAGAGGGAAACGGUAUCCAUGCUGCAAUAUUCCCACCAGUCAUACAAAAGUUCAAACCUCUGAUAAAAGAAGGAGUCGUCUACAACAUCACAUACUUCCGGGUCAGAGCCUCGAACAAUUUGUACAAGCCUGUUUUCAAUGAGAACAUGAUUACCUUUACAAACUGGACAAAAUUGGAGGAGGUUGUUGAGGUUCCGCCAGCAUUUCCUGUGCUUACCUACUCACUCACACCAAUAGACCAGCUCCAUUUAUGUGUCGACCACAGAGAGUACUACACAG